rnacentral:lncRNA from 1 species
UUUAGUAUAAAGUACAGAAAUCUCAACAUCCUAUUUCGGAAGUUUUCCCAAUUACCAAAAUUCCUAAAUGGGAGGGAUGUAUCCGAAAGGAGAUAGAGAUGUAUCUGAGAGGGGCUAGGAAUGUACCCGAGAGGAAAUGGAUGUAUCCGAGGGGAGAUACGGAUGUAUCCGACAUGAGACUUUUGUAUUUUUUUUAAACGGUAGGGACUUUAGAGAUUAUGAUAUCUUAAAUUGUGUAUAUAUGUAUUUUUUCCUAAUUUUAAUUUUUAACAUGACUUUAGCAUUAUUGUAUUUUUUUUCGACCCGC